GUUGUUGACUUUAUAAAAGCAUGUUAGAGUUAGAUCUACCUUUUAUCUAAGAACCGGAAUCAUUACAGAGAGUGAAGACUAGAAAAAUCUGAAUUACCUUCAGCUCACCUCAUCAAGCAGAAGAAGAUGGCUGAGCUUGGAUUUCCGUUAGCAGCCAUACUCAAUUGAAAAGCCUCGGCUCGUUUGCUUCAGAGGAGAUUUGCUUGAUGUGGGGGUUUAAAGCGGAUUUGCAAAAGCUUGGGUGCACCAUGUCCGCCAUUAGAGACUGCUCUUUUAUGACGAAGAGAAGCAAGCCUGUGAUAAGGAGCUACUCAGUUGGCUACGACAACUUCAAGAUGUGCUUAGAUGUGCUUAGGAUUUGUUGGAGGAGUUAAGAGUGCGAAGAUUUACAGAGGCAAUGUGGUUCGUGAUAGUGGCGCAACUAGAAAGGUAAGCCGUUUCUUUUCCCGUUCUAAUUCGGUUGCAAUCCGAUUGUGUGGGUCAUGGAAUCAAGCAGAUAAGGGAGAGAUUAUGUGAGCUUAUAAAAUCAAAAAAAUAAAAAAGAAGAAGAAGAAGAUGAGAACUUUGCUGAUUUCUGUAGUUGUCCUUGCAUUUGAUCCAGAUACAACCCUUCAGUGAUCUUUGUACCCAAUGCAGAGCAAAUGAUCUCUUUUGCCAAUCUAGUAGUAUCAAAAGUCCACUGACAUACGCUGCCGCAUCCUUAACUCAAAAUUCCUUACGACUCUCUCAUCGUUGUACACCAAAUUGGCAAGUGUGGUGUUCCCUAAACCUCGAAUCCCACUAUACGAAUAACAUAUACAUUCUCAUUAUCCCCACCUUGAUGAUCAUCGCUUGGUACCAUUUGAAGGUCAACUGUAUUUUUCUGUUUCUCAUCACCGAGAUGACGGUGAUGAUGAACAGUGCAAAGAUCAGCAAAGCUCACAUAAUCUCUCCUUGAUUUCAUGACCUACUCUCAAGCAAAAUGCAACUAGAUUAGAACAGGAAAAGAAACGGCGUACCUUUCUAGUUGUGCUACUACCACGAACCAUUUGCCUUUGUAAAGCUUCGCACUACCAACAAAUCCUCAGCAUUAAGAACCAUGUCUUGAAGUUGUCGUAGCCAACUGCGAAGCUCCUUGUUACGUGCUUGCUUCUCUUCGGCAUCCAAGAGAACGUCUUUGAUGGUGGACAUGGUGCGCGCAAGCUUCGCAAAGCUUCUUCAGUUGCUGUGGAGUCCAUAAAGAUUUCAUGAUCUUGUUGCUUUAGCGCCAAUCUCCCUUCAGAACAAAAUAUUGGAAAAUGGAUUUAACUCGAAUGAGAGAUGACUUGGAGAAAACCGAGGUAAGUUGUUCACUAAAAUAUUGAAAGUAUGUUUAAUGAGAUUGAUGACAGGAAAAUCAUCAACAUAGGAAGUGUGACUGAUAAAUCAUAAGCCUCCUCACUCGUCUUACUAUUCUUUGUCUCUUAGAUGAAGCCAUAUAUUCCUCUUCCAAAACCUCUGCUUCUUUAUUUUAGGAUUGGCAUGACUUGGAAUAAAGAAUAUAAAUCCGCGGAACUCCCAUUGUUCUGUUUUUAUCUGAUCAAGUGAGUAACUCCAAUCUAAUUUGCUCUGCAGUGAACUCGGAUAAGAUUGAUAUGAAAAUGAGAUCAUAUGUGAGUCAGAAAGUUUGUUCGAGCAUAUUUUUGAGAGAAUUAUUGUCUGAUGUGCUGGUGGUCAAUUGUUAUAAGUUCCUGUUUAUAAGGAAAGAUAAUAAUUGUUCUGUUAUAAAUUCCGUUAUGAUCUAGUCACUAAGAAUUAUUAUCUCCUCUCUCUUACUCUGCCUUUUUAAGUAGCUAAACAGUUUUGUGCUGCAGGGCUGGUAUUGAACUUGUAAAGCUAUCUGUAUGCACUUAAAAAAAUUCACUGACAGAAGCUGCAGUAUUUGUAUAUGUACCAGAUGCAUCUUGCAUGAGGCACUGCCACUUAAUAGUUUCGUGGUUCAACCAACCAAGACGCAGGAAAAUCAACAAGUGAUUUUGCUGACAGUUUACAUCGGACCAGCAAACUCACACAUGAACAAACUCAGAACAAUUAAGCAAUGGUUGAUCAUUGUUAAGUAAGAAGGAUUUGUAAAAGGUAUCUCCAAUUCCCUUGGAAAAGUGGAUAAGGUUGGUUUUAAAGGCUAAAUUGUGAAACUUUUCUUUUUUCGAUUUCAAAAUAAUGACAUUUUUCAAAACAUGUUUUUUGUAGAAAUAUCUUACUGCAAGACAUAUCUUAUUCCACAAGAAGAAAAUCCUUCUCAAGAGUGCAAAAUUGUGAGAAGAGCCGGAAAGCUUAUCCCAUUUCAUUUUAACCGAAUUCAAGAAAUCAGUGACUCUAAUUUUCCUCUGGAAACUCGAAGGCGUCUUAAGAGAUAUAACCUUAAACCUAAUGAAUCUUUUUCCUCAGAAUCAUUCUGCUCUAUCUGCAAUAGCCCACUCAGCUGAUCUGACUUGUUAAGUUUGAAGAAUUUUGAGGACCAUAAAACAAGUUCUGUCUGCUGUUUGAGCAGCCGGUUUCAGAUACUUCCUGAAGAACCGCGCCCCCCCCAUCAGUAAACCAAUUUUUUACGCUUUUACCUCAGCAACUGGUUGCUCGAGCAAAGCAUGACAAUCUUGACCAUUACAGUGUCCUCAGGGAACAAGUACAAGAUUGCUUGCUCUCAGAAGGUAAAGAUGAAACUUGAGCCGACUUGCCCAUGCCUGGGAUCUUUUCUUCUAUAAAGGUGGUGAAAGAUUUGGUUGACAAGAUUGCUUGCUCUUAGAAGGUGAAGAUGAAACUUGAGCCGACUCGCCCAUGCCUGGGAUCUUUUCUUCUAUAAAGGUGGUGAAAGAUUUGGUUGGUCAGAUUGUUUCUAAAGGAUAGUGGACUUCUGAUGCCAACAACAAUCACAGAACUGCAGGUAUCAAUUGAAGGUGUGUGGUUGACAUCCAAGGCUGUUCUAACCGUCCAACAAGGCUGUUCUAACCGUCCAACAAGGCCUAUACUCGAUGUUUAUCUUGAUGGCGUGUAUCAAAGGCUUGAAAUUCGAGCUUGGUUCAGUGAGAUUGUAUCGGGAUUGCGAAUUAUUCAGUUGUUUUUUUAUUGAUAACAAAAAUGAGACUGGCAUAGGCCUGUUUCAUCAAUACUGUACAAGAAACACUCAAUACUCUGAUUUUUUGGCAGCGCAUGCAUUACAAGAAGAUUGAGUAA